rnacentral:rRNA from 1 species
UGACCGCUGGCGGCGUGCCUACUACAUGCAAGUCGCGCGAACAGACGAGGAGCUUGCUCCUCUGACGUUAGCGGCGGACGGGUGAGUAACACGUGGAUAACCUACCUAUAAGACUGGGAUAACUUCGGGAAACCGGAGCUAAUACCGGAUAAUAUAUUGAACCGCAUGGUUCAAUAGUGAAAGACGGUUUUGCUGUCACUUAUAGAUGGAUCCGCGCCGCAUUAGCUAGUUGGUAAGGUAACGGCUUACCAAGGCAACGAUGCGUAGCCGACCUGAGAGGGGGAUGGCCAACAGUGACAGUGAAAACGGCCCCAGCCUCCGCGGGGGGGCAGCGGGGGGGAUUCUCCGGCAAGGGGAGAAAGCCGGACGGACAACCGCCGGGUGAGUGAUAAAGUUUUUCGGAUCAAAAAACUCUGUUAUGAGGAAAAAAAAAAGGUGAAAGAAACUAUGCACUUCUUGAGGGAACCUAAUCAGAAAGCCCCGGCUAACUACGUG